GUGCUCUCUCCAGCAGCAUGUAUGCUAAAACUUAGAACAAUACGGAGAAGAUGAGCACAGUCCCUGCAUAACGAUGACACAUAAAUCUGUGAAGCAUUCCAUAGUUCU
ensembl:snRNA U6 U6 spliceosomal RNA